CGAGGAUCGAUGGGCGUUAGUCCCGCGAAAAAAGAACCGUGGCAAAGGUUUGGUCUUAAUUUUGAAAGCAAACACCGUGUGGCCUUCGUUUUGCGAAACUGCUCGCACCUCGACCCAAUUUUCCAGGGAAACAUGAAAAUGUCGAAGCUACCAGAGUGCAGAUGUACUCUGACUCUUUGGACCGUGAAAACAGUGAAAACUACUUCCUCACAUCCGACUGAUGCUUGAACGGGAAACGUUGGCUACGUAUGAGCGCCAUAUUUUGGUAACAGCCAUUGCUCCGAGUCCCUAUUGGUAGGGACCACCACCGAGCACUGACCACACGCUC